AACGUAGGUACCGAGCGUUAUCCGGAUUUACUGGGCGUAAAGCGCGUUCAGGCGGUUUGGCAAGUCGGGCAUGAAAUCUCUCGGCUCAACCGGGAGAGGUUGUCCGAUACUUCCAGACUUGAGGGCAGUAGAGGGUGGUGGAAUUCCUGGUGUAGCGGUGAAAUGCGCAGAUAUCGGGAGGAACACCGGUGGCGAAGGCGGUUCUCUGGGCCUUACCUGACGCUGAGGAGCGAAAGCGUGGGGAGCGAACAGG
rnacentral:rRNA from 1 species